rnacentral:rRNA from 1 species
UACGAAGGGGGCUAGCGUUGUUCGGAAUUACUGGGCGUAAAGCGUAUGCAGGCGGACUUUUAAGUCGGGGGUGAAAUCCCGAGGCUCAACCUCGGAACUGCCUUCGAUACUGGAAGUCUUGAGUCCGGGAGAGGUGAGUGGAACUCCGAGUGUAGAGGUGAAAUUCGUAGAUAUUCGGAAGAACACCAGUGGCGAAGGCGGCUCACUGGCCCGGUACUGACGCUGAGAUACGAAAGCGUGGGGGGCAAACAGG